rnacentral:rRNA from 1 species
UACGUAGGGUGCGAGCGUUGUCCGGAAUUAUUGGGCGUAAAGGGCUCGUAGGCGGUUUGUCGCGUCGGGAGUGAAACACCGGGCUUAACUCGGUGCUUGCUUCGAUACGGGCAGACUAGAGGUAUGCAGGGGAGAACGGAAUUCCUGGUGUAGCGGUGAAAUGCGCAGAUAUCAGGAGGAACACCGGUGGCGAAGGCGGUUCUCUGGGCAUUACCUGACGCUGAGGAGCGAAAGCGUGGGGAGCGAACAGG